UCACUGUGUACAUUCUGCGGUAUACUAGAUCUUUGUGUGCACCUAGUGGUGUUAUAUUUCACUGUGUACAUUCUGCGGUAUACUAGAUCUUUGUGUGUACCUAGUGGUGUUAUAUUUCACUGUGUACAUUCUGCGGUAUACUAUAUCUUUGUAUGCACCUAGAGGUGUUAUAUUUCACUGUAUGCGACUAACAUUCUAUUUUGUUCUUU